UACAGAGGUCCCAAGCGUUGUUCGGAUUCACUGGGCGUAAAGGGUGCGUAGGUGGUGGGGUAAGUCUGAUGUGAAAUCUUCGAGCUUAACUCGGAAAUGGCAUUGGAUACUACUCUGCUAGAGGUUUGGAGGGGGGACUGGAAUUCUCGGUGUAGCAGUGAAAUGCGUAGAUAUCGAGAGGAACACCAGUGGCGAAGGCGAGUCCCUGGACAACACCUGACACUGAGGCACGAAAGCUAGGGGAGCAAACAGG
rnacentral:rRNA from 1 species